UACGUAGGGGGCUAGCGUUGUCCGGAAUCAUUGGGCGUAAAGCGCGUGUAGGCGGUCCGGUAAGUCCGCUGUGAAGUCGGGGGCUCAACCUCGGAUGACCGGUGGAGUACUGUCGGGCUUGAGUACGGAAGAGGCGAGUGGAAUUCCUGGUGUAGCGGUGAAAUGCGUAGAGUAUCAGGAGGAACACCCUGUGGCGAAAGCGGCUCACUGGACCAUGAACUGACGCUGGAUGCACGAAAGCUAGGGGAGCAAACAGGAUAGAAACC
rnacentral:rRNA from 1 species